AUACGGAGGGUGCAAGCGUUAUUCGGAAUCACUGGGCGUAAAGGACGCGUAGGCGGGUUGGCAAGUCAGAUGUGAAACCCUACAGCUUAACUGUAGAACUGCAUUUGAAACUGCUAACCUAGAGUAUGGGAGGGGGAGAUGGAAUUAGUGGUGUAGGGGUAAAAUCCGUAGAUAUCACUAGGAAUACCGAAAGCGAAGGCGAUCUCCUGGAACAUAACUGACGCUAAGGCGUGAAAGCGUGGGGAGCAAACAGGAUUAGAAACCCUAGUAGUCC
rnacentral:rRNA from 1 species